rnacentral:rRNA from 1 species
AUGCACGCUGGCGGCGUGCCUAAUACAUGCAAGUCGAGCGAACGGACGAGAAGCUUGCUUCUCUGAUGUUAGCGGCGGACGGGUGAGUAACACGUGGAUAACCUACCUAUAAGACUGGGAUAACUUCGGGAAACCGGAGCUAAUACCGGAUAAUAUUUUGAACCGCAUGGUUCAAAAGUGAAAGACGGUCUUGCUGUCACUUAUAGAUGGAUCCGCGCUGCAUUAGCUAGUUGGUAAGGUAACGGCUUACCAAGGCAACGAUGCAUAGCCGACCUGAGAGGGUGAUCGGCCACACUGGAACUGAGACACGGUCCAGACUCCUACGGGAGGCAGCAGUAGGGAAUCUUCCGCAAUGGGCGAAAGCCUGACGGAGCAACGCCGCGUGAGUGAUGAAGGUCUUCGGAUCGUAAAACUCUGUUAUUAGGGAAGAACAUAUGUGUAAGUAACUGUGCACAUCUUGACGGUUCCUAAUCAGAAAGCCACGGCUAACUACGUG